AAAACCUUUCCACUGACUGGUACAUGUGCUGGUAAAACCUUUCCACUGACUGGUACACGUGCUGGUAAAACCUUUCCACUGACAGCUAAGGGGUAAAUGAAAACUUUGAACUCGUGCUUUUCACAACUGAACCAGUCUGAAACAUAAGAAGGUGGAGUGUCAUCCAUAUCUAACCCAGUCACAGAUGUUGGCUCACUGUAAGAGUCAAGGCCUGGCACUGACAGCCUAUAGUCCUCUU